rnacentral:rRNA from 1 species
GAAUAUUGGACAAUGGGGGCAACCCUGAUCCAGCCAUGCCGCGUGUGUGAAGAAGGCCUUCUGGUUGUAAAGCACUUUAAGCAGUGAAGAAUACUCCAUGGUUAAUACCCAUUGACGAUGACAUUAGCUGCAGAAUAAGCUCCGGCUAACUCUGUGCCCGCAGCCGUGGUAAUACAGAGGUUGCAAGCGCUAAUCGGAAUUACCGGGCGUAAAGCGAGCGUAGGUGGCUUGAUAAGUCAGAUGUGAAAUCCCCGGGCUUAACCUGGGAACUGCAUCUGAUACUGUUAGGCUAGAAUAGGUGAGAGGAAGGUAGAAUUCCAGGUGUAGCGGUGAAAUGCGUAGAGAUCUGGAGGAAUACCGAUGGCGAAGGCAGCCUUCUGGCAUCAUAUUGACACUGAGGUUCGAAAGCGUGGGUAGCAAAC